rnacentral:tRNA from 1 species
GGGCAAUUAGCUCAAUUGGUAGAGCAACUCGUUUACACCGAGAAGGUUAGCAGUUCAAGUCUGUUAUUGCCUA